rnacentral:tRNA from 1 species
GGGAAGGUGUCUCAGUGGUAGAGUACUUGUCUUGCAUACAUGAAGAUCGAGGUUUGAUUCCCCCAACCCA